UGGGGAAUAUUGGACAAUGGGGGCAACCCUGAUCCAGCAAUAGCCGCGUGUGUGAAGAAGGCCUGAGGGUUGUAAAGCACUUUCAGCAGUGAGGAAAUCUUUCAUCGGUUAAUACCCGUGAGAGCAUGACGUACCUGCAGAAGAAGCACCGGCUAUCCGC
rnacentral:rRNA from 1 species